rnacentral:rRNA from 1 species
CAAUAGCGUAUAUUAAAGUUGUUGCAGUUAAAAAGCUCGUAGUUGGAUUUCUGGUGGGAGCGAUCGGUCUGGCGCUUAGCGCGAGUACUUGCAUCGUCUCCGGCCAUCCUUGGGGAGAGUCUGUCUGGCAUUAGGUUGUCGGGCAGAGGAUCCUCAUCGUUUACUGUGAAAAAAUUAGAGUAUUCAAAGCAGGCUUAUGCCGUUGAAUAUAUUAGCAUGGAAUAAUAAGAUAGGACUUUGGUACUAUUUUGUUGGUUUGCGCACCAAAGUAAUGAUUAAUAGGGACAGUUGGGGGUAUUCGUAUUCCGUUGUCAGAGGUGAAAUUCUUGGAUUUACGGAAGACGAACUACUGCGAAAGCAUUUACCAAGGAUGUUUUCAUUAA